CCGUAGGUGAACCUGCGGAAGGAUCAUUAAUGAAUGCAAUAGCAUUUACUGUGAAGGGGAUUUGUUUUGCUAGCCGAGCUAGCAAUAAGCACUUUAUAUUAGAUUACUUAUAUAACUAAAUAAAUUAAAACUUUCAACAACGGAUCUCUAGGUUCUCGCAUCGAUGAAGAACGCAGCGAAACGCGAUAUGUAAUGUGAAUUGCAGAAUGUGAAUCAUCGAAUCUUUGAACGCACAUUGCACCCUCUGGCAUUCCGGAGGGUAUACCUGUUUGAGCGUCAGUUCUUUCUCAAAGGCAACUUUGGUAUUGGCUGAAUAAGGGUAUCGGCUGAAAGAUAUUGGUUAGUCCGGUGUAAUAAGAUUCCAUCUAGCUGACCAUAAAUCUCUUGACGUUGACCUCAAAUCAGGUAAGACUACCCGCUGAACUUAAGCAUAUCAAUAAGCGGAGGAAAAGAAACCAACAGGGAUUGCCUUAGUAACGGCGAGUGAAGCGGCAAAAGCUCAAAUUUGAAAUCUGGCGCAAGCCCGAGUUGUAAUUUGAAGAAGGUAAUUUUUGGGGAGAUUGUUUGCAAAAGUUCCUUGGAAGAGGACGUCACAGAGGGUGAGAAUCCCGUGUUGCGAACCGCUCGCCCCUUGUAAAAUGCUUUCGAAGAG
rnacentral:rRNA from 1 species